AUCUUGAGGAGUCAAAACAUCAGCCAACAGUGGGUGACAUCACACUAUUUUUUAUACCGUCUAUGGGCACAGACCUUGGUGACCUCACAGCUGGUUAUGUCCACGGAUGGAUAGAUGUCAUUCCAUCUUGUUGAGAUAGAAUAUGUAAAUGUUGAAAACUCCCCUCCUUCUGGGUGAUUUUCUCGAGCUGUGCAGGUGUAAAUUUUGAGACAUAUCUUUUAGGACUUCUAUAAAAGUAAAUUCCAACACAGUUUAUGGGAAAUUCUUAUAUUUUUGGGGCAUUUUUUUUUUAAAUUUGUGCUGUGAUAAAUUGUUUUAAAGUUAUAAAAGGUCUAAUGUGCGAAUAACUAUCUAAAUUCUAUGAUGGGCCAUCUUAGAUGUUAGAUGGGAUUGAACUUUUAAAACACUGUUUAAUGGUAAUCUUGUAAAAAACAUGUGAAAGGGAAACCAAAAUGAAACAGUUUUGGUGCCUGAAGAUGAAUAAGUGAUGGGACUAGAAGUCUUCUCUGCAGAUGUGUUUGAGUGUCUUUACACAGAAUUUUUGCUCUUUUUUUCAUUUAUGGGCUGUUUGUGUUGUGAUGUAGCUCCUGCAGAGAGUGCAAACAUGCUGUUCUUGACUAGUUAGAAAAUAAAAUGUACAAUUCAAGAUAGGACUGAGCAAAAAUCGUCCACUGAUGCGUUUCUCUCCCACAAAUUUUCAGUGGCAUCACAAAACAAUCUUAGAGAAGGCAAAAUGCCAUUUCAAGAAAACAGAAGCACGGUCGCAAUGAAGUACAAAAAUUUACGUUACAUCUCACCUACACUGGAGGUCAAGCCAUUACAUUUUCACAUUCAUCUUGAGCCAUGCAGCAUGGAAUCUGUAGUGCCUUAUCUGAGCACAAAGCAGUGAAAUGCUAAAAUGCACUUCAUUGUUGGAUUCUAUUUGAUAGCAUCAGGGGUACUUUUGUGCAUUUACAGACAUGGAAAAAAAACAAGUUAUGUGAUCUGUGACCUCUUUCUGUGUUGUUCAGAAAACAGUCAGAAAAUGUAUGUCACUGUCAGUGUGUGCUAUCACAACUUGUUUUCCAUCUGCAGUGAUAUAGUAAACCAUAAAUAUCUUUUCUUUUUAAUUAAAAAACUUUGGGCUAUUAUGAAUUUAAAGUUAACCAACAUCCGAAGUGAGAAUAACUGUAUUAAAAAUUGUUUUAACUUUUAAUGUGUAAUGUUGCUCAGUGGCCAUCUUGUGAGUGUUAGAGUGAACAAAUGUCACUCUUACAACAUCCUCUCCAACUUGUGAUCCAACCAAUCAAAAAAAGGUACACCACAGACCAAUGCCAUUCACUUCCUGUUUGGAAAAUAUAUGUGUGCUGUAUUAAGUAGUUAGGUAAGGCUGACUCUUUGGUUGUAUAUGUGUUGUAGAUGCCGUGCAGUAUAAUUGCUAUGAUUAUUACAUAUACAGUUUACUCUGUUUUGUGGCAUUGAAGUUGUUAAAGGCGUUGUAUAGAGAUAAGGACCAAAUUACACAUGACACUCAUUACCGACUUUCUCAGAUAUUUGGGCAUCAACUGGACCUCGACUUUGAUAUGUUGCAUCUUCCUGGAAGCAGUUGGGAAAGGCACAUCCUUGACAGCUGGGUGCACAGUGACCCUGCACUGUACCAGUAACAUAAUCGGUGACCUCGUUCAACUGACAUGGAGAAGGAAUGGGACUCAGCUGUUUAGUUUCAGGCCACAGAAAGCCUCAAACAGCAGCUCUGUCACCUUAAGCAGGUCUGCUGCUGCUGCCACCCUGAAUCUGACCAUGUCCACCUUAGAAAGCCAAUCAUAUGCACUAAUCAUAGAGAGCGCCCAGAAAAAUCACGCAGGAAACUACACUUGUGAAAUAACCACAGACUCUGGAGUCAUCGAACAGAAAUGGGAGCUUGUGAUUACAGAGGAAGCUGAAUCAAGUGGAAUCCAUGAUGCAACAGCAGUUAUUGUACGUUGUGUGUGUUUCCUGGUUAUUACAAUUACUGCUUUGGCCAUUAUGAGAAGAGUCUGCAAACAAUGA